rnacentral:rRNA from 1 species
AAUGUACCUGAUUCCAUCCGAUCUCAGAAACUAAG